UACGUAGGUGGCAAGCGUUGUCCGGAUUUACUGGGCGUAAAGAGCGCGCAGGCGGUCGAUCAAGUCGCGUGUGAAAGCCCCCGGCUCAACUGGGGAGGGUCACGCGAUACUGAUCGACUCGAAGGCAGGAGAGGGUAGUGGAAUUCUCGGUGUAGCGGUGAAAUGCGCAGAUAUCAGGAGGAACACCGGUGGCGAAGGCGGGUCUCUGGGCCGAUGACUGACGCUGAGGAGCGAAAGCGUGGGGAGCGAACAGG
rnacentral:rRNA from 1 species